rnacentral:lncRNA from 13 species
GUGCUGGCGGCGGGGCCCCGCCCCGGCGAUGCCCAGCAGGCUGCGCUGCGGGCGGUGCCGGGCAGGCCGCGGCGAUGGCGGUGGUGUAGCUGUGAGCGGGCGGUGCGGGGCCACCAUGAUCAUCGAGAGCGUAGACGCGCUCAAGUCCUGGCUGGCCAAGCUGCUGGAGCCCAUUCCCAGCUCUGUCAUCUCGGAGAAGAGCCAAGGGCUGCUGCAGGUGCUGACAAAACCGGGAAUAAUGUUAAAACUGUGGAAACUCUGCAUUUGCAUCCUGCUGCUGCCCGCAGUGGGAGUGGGACUGGGAUGGAGUCAGCAUGGAUCCAGGUCAUGUCAUGCAUUUUAUGGGUUCUAAUAAUUUGUCCUGGCUGCAAAGUGAUGCUGGAUUUGUGUUCGUCCCAAGCUCUGUGGUGCCUUAACACAUCUGGUGCUGGUGGUGCAGGCACAGCAACGGGUCAGUGGGUCUAUCAGGAGAAGCUGCUUGUCAGUGCCUGGCCAGGCUUAGAUCUCCCACAAAGUACAGCUGAGGCCUGUGGGAAGUGUUUUAAAUAGGCCUUAGGUCUGCUCAGUUGCCAUCGUUAAGUAUUAGGCUUUUGAAAGUUCUUCACAACUUUCUUUUUCUCUUGUUACAGUAAUGGGUUUCUCUGGUUUUUGGUCAAACCCUGCUGAAGGUCUCUAGACUGGAGAAUGCCUCCUGCUCUUGCACUUUCCCUGCCAGCUCCCAGCGUUCCAUGGGCAUUUGAGCUGCACUGUGGAAUGUGAGGCAGAGAAUCAAGGAGUUGGCCACUGGGCCCCAACAGUCAGGGACUCUGUAGUGACACUAGAGUGACAAUACAGACUGGCUUACCUGGAGGAGUGCACUCACCUUGUGUGCUCCUGCACU